UGCUGAGGAGCACUUGUGGUUUUCAGCACUGUCCUACAGCCGAACUCGGUGGGGAAUAUGCAAGCAGACUCGCUGACAAGACGACGACGUCAGCGGACACGAGGCGAGGACACGUCCGGGUUGGUCCGCAGGUAAUCGGCUCACGGGCAAAGUGGCGUAGGCGACGCGCGUUCAUGACGAUUUGUCGGGCUCGCGCGGAAAAUUAAUUCCCUCUUCCAUCUCGCCUUCAAUUCCAGUGACAGCAGCGUUUGUGAGCGCUCAAAACGACUUGUGUGUUCCAACGUGUCUCGCAAAACAGUUCAAUGUGGCAGCGAGGAAGAGCCGGGGGAGACACUAUUUGUUCGUUUGUCUGUAAUCAUCGGUGUCUUGCUGCACUCCCCGUGUAAGCGCCGUCUGCGAGCGAGGGAGCUGCUGCCGUAAUGACGAGAGACUUUGUUACAUUUCUCAGUGCGCCAUGGCUGUCUGUCAGUAGAGAUUCUCCUCAUCCCCGCCUGCUUACGCUCUGUCGGAGCCACGCGACACAGAUGAGUAUCCAUCCGAUUACUACCGGCAGGCGGCUCAACGUGACAUUGACACCAGGCGGACCUCCCGUCCCCUCAUUUACGCCUGCUUACCCGCUUUGAUCAGCAAAUCCGCCUGAUGUGACGAUGCGAGACGAUUCGGAGCUGAACGAGGAACUGAGAAGCGGACGGCCCGACAUCCUGGUGUCCCAUUUAAGACUCCACUUCAAACCGACGUGUAAUCCGCAGCGCGCCACAA